GGAAGGGCCAAGUCCAUGGUUAUGAAUCUUGAUCCUGAGAGGAACGAGGAAUGCCUUUUGAACGUACUGAUGUGCAUGACCUCAAGAUCUGUUUGGGACUUCCAGUUCUGAGGACCUGAGCUAUGUCUUGCCCCCUGUGGCAUGUCUGUACUGCUGUCAAUGCCACCCCUGACACAGUGGGAAAGUGCUUAAGGAAAGGAAGAAGAAGAAUAUUUUCAGAGAGGAGAAAACAUUUGAUGAAAUCGGAAUGCUGUAUGAAUAGAAACCCAUCUUGACUGCAAACAAAAUUAAGUGGAUGAAGCCAGGACAUGGAAAAGUUUUGUUACUCAUCAUAACUAACUGUGGCUCAAAAGUCCUGACAGAAAAAAAACAUUGAAAGCUACAGUUUUUUAAAGCUGAAGCUGGCUUCUGAGAGCACCUCUGGUGUUCUCUAAAUGUAAGAAGUACAUGUUUAAUUUGGGAUUUUUAAAAUAUAAAAGUUAGUGAUAGACUCACUCAUACAACAUCACACAAGUGUUAUCUUUACACUAAAACUCCUGAACAAUAAAUCUAAACUCAAAUUAUUGGACCAUUCCUUGGCUUUAAUUCUGUAUUGAUUGCAUAAUUAAGAUUGAGUCACUGAGAAAAAUCUUAGAUGUUAUGAGUAACAUAUUUAUAUGAAUCCCUUAGGUCAGCUAAUGAUCCCACAUACCACAUAUUCAUCUGUUUUUCAGACACAUCGGUGUUAGUAGCACUUUUGAGUAGAAUUUUUACUUUUGAGGUUGAGGGUGAUUAAAGCAAUUUCUGAAAUGAUAUCAUCCCAACCCUGGAUGGGCCAGUGGAGUCAGACAUAUUAAAGCAAUACUGUUUAAAAGCAGAGCAGAUAAAGAGUAAGAACAUUUGUCAGGUUAGAGGUUCAUAAAAAUAAAUAUAGUGCUCUUCAGACACAAAUGGCUGGAUAAUAUAGAAAGACUAUUAUUUAUGAAAAUAUGACCUGCAAAUAUUAUCUAUCAGGUAUUGAACUUCUGCUGAAACUCCUAAGAUUAUUUACUUUUGCUAACCCUGUGGUGUAUUUGAGGCUUUUCUCCUACUUUGCUUACUGUCAGAAAUGUUGUGUCUUACAGAAUCAUUCACCCCCAGAAUGUCAUCUGUCCUCUUUCCCACAAUCACAUUUGUCUGUGCUGGAUUGCCCAGAGAAAAGCAGCCCACCCUGCUUCUUUCAUGCAAGUGCCAUAAGCAACAUUGCCACAUAGGGUGAAACACAAGCACAUGCUGCCAAUGGAGGGACUUUUAUACCAAAUAACCCCUAAAACUAUUUUUUUUCCUUUAGCUGAUGUUAAAUAAGUGACUUCAGCCCUGCAGACCCUCAGGCUCCAUUGCUAAAAGCAGUUACAGGCUCGAGAUCUUAGACAGAUUUCUCAUACACCAAAACAUCUACUCUUGUAGAGCAGCACAAAGACUAAUAUAAAUAAAUUUGUGAGGCUUUUCAGGAAGACUUGAUUUUGAUUAAAUUGCUUGUUUCUGCUGUUAAACAAGGUCUCCUUUUUUAGCAGCUGACUAAAAUGCUCUCAGGUAAAAUCCUUCAAGAAUCCCAUAGCUAAUACUUAUUAAGAUUUAA